CAAGAAACUUCAUUUUAGGCCCUUUUGGAUACCACAAAACCUAAAUGGCAGCAAAACCUUCCUUUGAUUCUGGCGAACUAAAAAACAAAAUGGAAGGGCUUUGAGGUUGCCUUACUUUAGAUCAGAAAUGUCCCCCAAUCCACGAGCAGAACAAAGAAUCAGAUGACUACGAUGGUUGUUAAAAUCAACGGUCAAAAUCUGCCAACUCCUUUGCUUUCCUCGGUGCAUCUUCGACCCAGAAAUAGUCAUCAAGCCUCCUCAUUCCUUCCUCCACCAAAGCAUGUGCAAUAGAGUUACCUUGGCGCACGGUGUACUCGAAUCGACAACCGAAGAAAUUUUUCCCCAUACCUUUACAUCCUAGCAGAGAAACCGACGUCUAUGUUCACUUUAACCCAAUUCGGUGGAAGGGAUUCCAGCGAAUCAUCUCCCUUGGUCUAGGGUGUUGCAAAUUUGCCGAUAAAUCCCGAUAUUCACUUCCAUAACCUCUGAUGAAGAGAUAUUGAAAAGCAAUAGGCCUGGUACUCAUUUCACAAAAGAUGAAUGGUUGAAAAUAAUGACCAACUUUGAGAAAGAAACGGGCAAGGGUUUUUCACAAAGACAACUUAAAAAUAGGUGGGAUGCCCUAAAAAAAGAAUGGAAAGCUUGGAAGAAACUUAAAGGCGAAGAUACUGGUCUAUGGUGGAAUCCUAUAAAAAGAACCGUUGAUGCAUCUGAUGAUUGGUGGGAGAAUAGGCUCCAGGUUAUGCCUGAAGCUAAAAAAUUUUGAACAUCGGGCAUUGAUCCUGAAUUCGAAGGAAAGUUGGACCAAAUGUUCAUGGGAAUAGUUGCAACAGGUGAUGAGUAUAGUUGAGGAUUACAGCGGUGAUGAAAGUGAUGAUGAAAUGGAAAAGAAAGAGAUUUUACAACGCAUGGAAUGUUUUAACCGAUUAUUUGUUGUUGCAUCUUCUUCUGUGCAAUUAUAUUACGAGAAGUAUAUAUUGAGGCAACCAUGCAUGGAUUCAAAAUAGUCAGGUGAGACAUGGAUCCGAGAGAUCCUUGACGGUCACGAAUCACGUUGUAGGAUUAAUUUUAGGAUGUCCAAAAUGGUGUUCACAAGUUUGUUGAGAGUUUUGGAGACAAGAUACAACUUGCAAACUUCAAGAAACAUAUCUUCUAGUGAAAUGUUGGGAAUUUUUUUAUACAUCUUGGGCACCGGUGCAAAAGUUUCCCAAUGUCAAGAAAGAUUUCAAAGGUCUGGAUCAACAAUAAGUCGACACUUUGCAAUUGUGCUUGAGAAAGUUUCAAGGAUGGCCACUGAUCUAAUUGCACCCGAAGAUCCUUUUUUUAGCUCAAUACUCGAAGAAAUACGUAAAGAUUCUAGAUAUAUGUCGUAUUUUAAGGUUAAAAUUUAAUUUUAUAUUAUUAUAUUUUGAUAUAUUUGGUCAACUAAAAAUAUGCACGAGAGUAAUAUGAUUAUUUGUUCAGGAUUGCAUAGGUGCAAUUGAUGGUACUCACAUUGCGACUAUUCUUCCACCAAAUGAACAAAUUCCCUAUAUUGGAAGAAAAGGUAUCCCGACUCAAAAUGUUAUGGCAGUAUGUGAUUUUAAUAUGUGUUUCACAUUUUUCAUGGCUGGAUGGGAAGGAUUGGCACAUCACAAUAGAAUAUUUCUUAAUGCAAUUCGAGAUCCAAAAUACAAAUUUCCGCACCCACCAAAUGGAAAAUAUUAUCUUGUUGAUUCUGGAAAUCCUCAAAUGAAAGGUUAUCUUGGACCAUAUAGAGGUCAGCGAUAUCAUUUACCUGACCUUCGUAGAGGUAGACCGAUAUCUGGUAAAGAAGAGAUAUUCAAUCAUUCACAUUCAUCAUUACGUAGUGUGAUUGAACGAACUUUUGGUGUUUUGAAAAAAAAUGGGCCAUUUUAAGAGAUAUGCCAAGUUAUAGUUUUAAAAAGCAAACAAUGAUUUUUGUUACUACAAUGACGAUACACAAUUUUAUUCGAAAAUAUGUCGGUCGAAAUGAUACAGAUUUUAUGGAAUACGAAGAUAUUAACUGGGCAAAUGAGAAUAUUAUUGAUUCAGAAAAUGCGCAUGGUCGAGAAAGUGAUGACGACGACGACAACGAUGAUAAUAGUGAUGAUGACGGUGAAUCAAACAAUUCAAGUGGUUUUGAAAUGGAAUUAACAAGAGAUGCUAUAGCUUUUAGUUUAAUGAAUUCACUUUAAAUUGUAAAUGCUAUUGUAAAAUUUUUAGUAUUUAUAUUUGGUAUAUAAAUAUUAUCCUUUUUUAAAACUUUAAUCCAAAUAUAUGUAAUAUUUUAA